rnacentral:rRNA from 1 species
UACGUAGGGCGCAAGCGUUGUCCGGAGUUAUUGGGCGUAAAGAGCUCGUAGGCGGUUUGUCGCGUCUGUCGUGAAAGCCCACGGCUUAACCGUGGGUCUGCGGUGGAUACGGGCAGACUAGAGGCAGGUAGGGGAGAAUGGAAUUCCCGGUGUAGCGGUGAAAUGCGCAGAUAUCGGGAGGAACACCGGUGGCGAAGGCGGUUCUCUGGGCCUGUACUGACGCUGAGGAGCGAAAGCGUGGGGAGCGAACAGG